GCCGGUGUGAGUAGCGAAAGACGGGUGAGAAUCCCGUCCACCGAUUGACUAAGGUUUCCAGAGGAAGGCUCGUCCGCUCUGGGUUAGUCGGGUCCUAAGCUGAGGCCGACAGGCGUAGGCGAUGGAUAACAGGUUGAUAUUCCUGUACCACCUAUAAUCGUUUUAAUCGAUGGGGGGACGCAGUAGGAUAGGCGAAGCGUGCGAUUGGAUUGCACGUCUAAGCAGUAAGGCUGAGUAUUAGGCAAAUCCGGUACUCGUUAAGGCUGAGCUGUGAUGGGGAGAAGACAUUGUGUCUUCGAGUCGUUGAUUUCACACUGCCGAGAAAAGCCUCUAGAUAGAAAAUAGGUGCCCGUACCGCAAACCGACACAGGUAGUCAAGAUGAGAAUUCUAAGGUGAGCGAGCGAACUCUCGUUAAGGAACUCGGCAAAAUGACCCCGUAACUUCGGGAGAAGGGGUGCUCUUUAGGGUUAACGCCCAGAAGAGCCGCAGUGAAUAGGCCCAAGCGACUGUUUAUCAAAAACACAGGUCUCUGCUAAACCGUAAGGUGAUGUAUAGGGGCUGACGCCUGCCCGGUGCUGGAAGGUUAAGAGGAGUGGUUAGCUUCUGCGAAGCUACGAAUCGAAGCCCCAGUAAACGGCGGCCGUAACUAUAACGGUCCUAAGGUAGCGAAAUUCCUUGUCGGGUAAGUUCCGACCCGCACGAAAGGCGUAACGAUUUGGGCACUGUCUCAACGAGAGACUCGGUGAAAUCAUAGUACCUGUGAAGAUGCAGGUUACCCGCGACAGGACGGAAAGACCCCGUGGAGCUUUACUGUAGCCUGAUAUUGAAAUUCGGCACAGCUUGUACAGGAUAGGUAGGAGCCUUUGAAACGUGAGCGCUAGCUUACGUGGAGGCGCUGGUGGGAUACUACCCUAGCUGUGUUGGCUUUCUAACCC
rnacentral:rRNA from 1 species